GUGUGCUGCUACCGCUAGCUGUUCCUCAAACUUCUUAAAAAGUGUGACACUGUGUGCACAGGCGUUCAAGUUUCAAUUGAUCCUCAAGCACAAAGUGUAUUUUUUCAACAGCCUUCAUACAACACCGCGGUUGAGGUGCGCCAAAUCUGAUGACAUCUUUCCUGAACCAAGCAGGCUGAACACGCGCACCACCACGGGCUCCAGCGCGGUGUGAAGAGGGAAGAAGAAAAGACAGAAUUGGAAACAGCCGCACCAGGCUUCCAACCACCGUGUGUGUGUAUGUAAGUAUGUGAGAACACAUGUGUGAAUCCUCUUGUGGGAACUGCAAAAAGAAGAGAAUAAAGAGUGUGAAGCAGCUAGGCUGCCGCAACCAAAUCAA